rnacentral:lncRNA from 1 species
CAACACAAAAAACCUUUAAGCAACUAAUAUACAACCCAUGCUUAUUGUGUGUGGCACCUAAUCAACUCUGACGUUGUGGUGAAAAAGCAGGUGCAGACAGUAGACGCACAACAGCCUCGGAGGAGCGGGCAGGACUGCGUUCCGGUGAAACUUUCCUUCCACGAAUCGGCAGUGGGCAGACCUGACUUUGAGAACCCCUGUGCUAGACCAUUUAAAAUUAGUUAGCCCAUUACAUCAGCCUAAAUACCCUUCAGAUGAGAAAUCAGAAACUGAAAGAGCUUCCUCAGCUUGACCACUUGACGGAUCAGGACAGACCAGGUUUUCUCUUUGGUAAGUGGGCAGAGCUAAAAGCAGAACUCAGGUCUGUGACUCAAAAGCUGGAUGGUGCGCAGUCUUCCCAUUGGACGGCCUCCGAGGACCUGGGGGCGUUAACUGGACUUCGUAGAUGUGAGAUCUCAGGAGGUGGAGGAGGACCCCAAAGAGACUUUCCAUUUGCUGCUCCGAACACAGAGACCGCAGGGGAGCGGCGGACAGCGGUGUGUGCUUGUGUGUGCGAGGUGCAGGCAGAUUGGUGGCUGUUUACACAAACCAGGAAAUCCCCCAAACUAAGGAUGUCAGGAUAACAAAACAGAAAAAAACUCUGUGCAAAGUUCAUAGGAACCUCAGGGAUAUGUGUCAUAAAAUGACACAGUCUUAUUGUCACCUGACAGCGCAUGACUUCAGCUGGCUCCAGUCCUCUGCACUUCCCUUUCGGCAGGAACUCUGCAGUCUUUACAUUUAACACGGCUCUGUUGAGGGGCCAGCACGAUUAAACUGUGCUCUGACAACCACAUCGACAGGAGACCAGGAUAUAUGACACAUAAAGGUGAAAGGACAGCGACUAAGGGGGGCGAAUGAGCUUUUAAACAAGCCUGACGCCAGCCAACUAGUUCUCGUAUGGCCUCCUGUGAAAAAUCUUGACAUAUUGGUGCAUUGCCAUGAGUUAUUUCUUCAUAUAACUGGGAAUAGUGGCCAACAUUAUUUGAUCUUGUCGAGUGUUAUCUGGGACUACAAACUUACUUUAUUUUAAGCUCAAUGACAUUUCAUCACCAGUUAACACAGCAUGAGUAGCUAAAACUCACUUCAGCACAGUAUGCACGGCCCCCGGGGUUUUCCCGCUUCAUUUUUGUGUGAAUAGCUAGCUCUCUGAUUUUCUCUACUUUUGAUAGUUUCUGGUUUUACCCUCUUGGUGUGUUUUGAGCCAUGUUUUUUAGUCCGUUAUUACACAUUAUGUUAUUUCUUUCACACGAGAUUUAUGUGUUAUCUGUAAUAAUGGGAACUAAUUCACUUCCUUUGCCCGUGUUAGCUCCGUCUAAAAGAGGAAGACAUUUCUCUCCUGGUCAUGCUUCUGGGGAGGAAUGGGAAGGAGCGGGAGGCAGUCAUUAAGGAUUCUCUGGGAUGGCUCCACCUGCAAACCUCCGCUCUGGGCUGGGGACGGGGCCCCACAUGGGCGGCCCUCAGCAAAUUCUCCCAGUUUGGGACUGAGACCUUCAUGGUGCCUGGAAUUUUUUGAUGCUUUCUGGAAAUUCAGAAACGAUCGGUUCUGAUCUCAAUUCAGCUACUGACUCUCUGGUCUUUUCUACUUAAAGCCACGAAAUUGUUUAUUUUCAAGUUGUAGUUUAAUUUAGUUUUGUUUUAAGCUUACCUGUUUCUGCCCAAUCAAUACAAUUGGCCACAAAUUUAAUCUGCUUCUGUCAUCAAGAAGGCGGAAAAGCCCAUGAUUUUUCAGUCCUCUUUGAGUAAGUUCAGCCUGUGCGUGAGCUCAGCCCACUUUCCCCGGCUCCGUGUCAGCUUCUCUCCUGUAAUACAAGAAAACACCCACAUGGUCAUAGACUCAUUGCAAAAAUUACAUAAUAAACAAGACUGAACUCUAUUUGGUGAUUGACAACAUAUGUUUACUUAAUGAAACAACAGCACACGUGUCCAAGAAGGUGAACACUGGAUUUGCUGGGUGCUCAGUCUGUGGCAGCACUUUGAGGUGCUUGACAGGAACCCAUCCAUCAGGGGUAUCGUAUCAAUUAACAAGGGUGAGUGUUGACUAUUGCAGCUGCGUGCUGAUGAUAAUUUAGCCCUCCCUUUUAAAAAACGUUUUGUGGGGGGCUGGCCCAGUGG